rnacentral:lncRNA from 1 species
GUUUCUGUGGCCAUGCAAUAUUUUUUACUGGAAAACAUAGUAACGUAAUCACUUAUUCUCGUUUUAAGCUUGAAGGAAUUUAAAUUUUAGUUUUUGGGUGAAUAUCUGUGUAUGCUGUGUUUUUUCCUGGAACUUUGAGUGAAUGGGGAAGAUUAUGUUCUUUCUUUUCGAUUUUUCCCUCGAUUCUAGUCUUUGGUGGUCGCUUCUUCUUCUUCUACUCCUUCCUCUUCUUCUUCUCCUUCUUUUACUUCUUCUUCUGGGAUCUAGGGAGAAAGGGGUAGUGGCAGCUACAUGUCCAUGUUCUCUGAGAUGGUUAGAAGGGUGAAUUGUGCCAUAAUUAUCUGCUAUUUUGCCAUAGGUUGGCCUCUCUCUCUCUCUCUCCCUUCCGUUUUNNNNNNNNNNNNNNNNNNNNUAAUUAUCUGUCUAUUUUGUCCAUAGGUUGGCCUCUCUCUCUCUCUCCCCCUUCCGUUUUUUCCGCCAAUUUGUUCUUUCCAAUGGUGUGUGGCUAGUUGGUGAAGUAGUCAUGAGAUUUUAUUAAGCUGGUAGUGUUCUAGGAGCCUCUUUUUGGCUCUUGUUACUCUAUGUUGGGUUUUUCUGGUUUUGUCUUUAACUUAUCGAAAAUUUUUGAUAUUGGAGCAAAAACGACAGCAGUGGAUGAGUUCAGUUUUAUAUGAUAAAGUAGGUUGUUUUAGUGUAUCAAGUGUUUGUUUCUAAUGUAGUCUCUGAUUUGGUUUGGUCUUUACCUUUUUGAGAGGAAGGUUGGUGAGGUAAUAGAAUGAAUUCAUGGUAAUCUAUUGCUUUAUCAUAUUAAUAAGGUCUCUAACGAGCUUGGGCUUGUCUCAAAAGAACUGCAUUAAAUCCACGCUCCCCCUGCCAACACUCUCUUGAUCAUAUUCUAGUUACAGUCUUAUAAAAUUUUACCUUCAGGAUUAAAAAUGGACAUGGUUUUCAGAAAAAUUUCAAUACAUUCCUCUUAGUUCUUCUAUGUUAGAGACCCCAUCAUUUAGUUCUACCUUAGACAUUGAUCUUCCCUUCCAAAUAUCAGACAUAUUGUAAGGAUAAGGUCCUUAUGAGCAUUGGAACACAUGUAUAAUCAUUUUUAUGCUAUCACUUAAAAAGGUAGAAGAAGAAGAGAAUGAACAAGAAGGAAAACAACAAUAACAGCAACUUCAUUGUAAUUGUCUCAAAGCCUCUCCACAGAUAAGUGCAUAACUAUGGUUGCCUCAUAAACAGUCACCUUGUUAAAUCAUGUACUGAUCAUAUUUCUUCAUCAUAACUGAUUGCUUAUUGUCUAGAAUCUGGAUUCCAUUGGUUUUGUUGUUCGAGGUCAUGGACAUCAUUAGGCAUGACCUUAUUCCCCAUAGUGCAUUAUCUGUCUCAACCAAGAUGGUCAAAACUGAUAAAUCAUCUUGUCCAUUUCCAAAUUUUUUCCCUAGGACAGCAUUAGUUAAAAUGAGGUACUUUUCCAUUAU